GAUGAACGCUAGCUACAGGCUUAACACAUGCAAGUCGAGGGGAAACGACAUCAAAAGCUUGCUUUUGAUGGGCGUCGACCGGCGCACGGGUGAGUAACGCGUAUCCAACCUGCCCACUACUUGGGGAUAACCUUGCGAAAGUAAGACUAAUACUCAAUUACGGCGCUGGAAGACAUCGGAAAGAGAUUAAAGAUUUAUCGGUGAUGGAUGGGGAUGCGUCUGAUUAGCUUGUUGGCGGGGUAACGGCCCACCAAGGCUACGAUCAGUAGGGGUUCUGAGAGGAAGGGCCCCCACAUUGGAACUGAGACACGGUCCAAACUCCUACGGGAGGCAGCAGUGAGGAAUAUUGGUCAAUGGACGAGAGUCUGAACCAGCCAAGUAGCGUGCAGGAUGACGGCCCUAUGGGUUGUAAACUGCUUUUAUAAGGGAAUAAAGUGAGCCUCGUGAGGCUUUUUGCAUGUACCUUAUGAAUAAGGACCGGCUAAUUCCGUGCCAGCAGCCGCCGUAA
rnacentral:rRNA from 1 species